CCGGGGACGGGCGAGGAUGAAAACGCAGCUAAUCAAAGAGCGCCACGCGGCUAAUAAGUCUGUAUUUUCAGCAGCCGCAUCCCCUCUCCCCCCUCGCAUUAAUCAAGCAGGUCGCCUCCGUUAGCCUGGGUGACGGGCCGUGCUCCGCCUGAACGCGCGUCCGGAGCUUGCCCGUCUGACUCCUCAACCAGAACCGGCUGGGUCAAGGGGCGGCGAGGGAGUCCACUGAUUUUGGCUGGAGGACCUCGUCGGGAGCAAGGCACGGUCUUCUCCAUCGCUGGCCAGGAGGAGGUGAUGGAGGUCGGGAAGGUGGAGGUAAGGUGGGGCGGAGAUGGCCAAGAGCGGAGGAACUCCACCGCGCCGACGACAUCCGCUGAUCCACGGGAGUGCUUCAUGGCGCUCAUUCUAUCCAUGUUUUUGUCAUGUCCGAUCUCGAUCCUUUUUUGUUCUUGAUUUUCUUUCGUUCUGCUCAUAUUUGCGGAGUUUUUUCCGGAUUUGCUUCUGAUUCAUGGAUAUCUCUAUGAAUUUGUGUUGAAUCUAGACUGCUCUAAACUGUUGUCACAAAUCUGGAGUGAGUUUGCUCCGGUGUAUGUUUCUCGGGUGAACAUGAGCUUCUCUGUAUCAACUAUGACGAGUCAUUUCUUGUAUAGAUGGUUCUGUUUUUCGGUGUUAAAAUUGUUGAUGAUAUUUUUGCAACAAUCUGUAGAAAAUGCACAAAUAUGAUUUGUAAACAGAGGUCUCAAAUAACAAUGCACAAAUCUGAUUCCUUGGUA